CGAAGAUGGGUCAAGUACAUAGUGGAACAGAAAUUCAGUCAAGCAAAUGAAUUCAAGACUGAUCUCUGUGGGCCCAACUCCUCAGCUGACAUCCAGCAUCUAACUCUGGCUUUUGGAGUGGUGGCAGAGAGUCUCAAAGAGAUUCAACAGCAUCCAGGCAACAAGAGCUCUUACGAGAAAGCUCAGGUGAACGUGUCUCAAGUAUACAUCCAGGAAUGGCUCAGCCAGCUAACAGGGGAGCUGAUCCAACUGUUUUGGAGCUUUGAGCUGAAGUGAUGGAGGGAAAGCCAUGCAGGCUGUAGUGGAAGUAGAGCUGAAGCCAAAGGACCGGUUGAGCUCCUCAGAACCCAUUACUCCAACUGGUAAAAAAAGAGAUUAAUUUCUCUCUGCAAACUCUGCCUCACUAUGAACUCUUCUGCAUAAUGUCAUUAUUUGGACUAUGAUGGAAAAAGAGAGGCAGGAAAAUAUGUAAUGUAAUGUUGUUCUUUCAAAGAUAGCAUGCAGUUCUCACCUAAUACUGCUGGUGUAUUGGGCAGUUAUAAAAUACUGGGUGGGGGAUUUUCCAACAGAGUAUUGGCAGAAAUUUGCCAAUUCUGUGUGAGC
rnacentral:lncRNA from 1 species